AAAAUGAGAGAAACCUUUCAGCACCGUCAGACGCUUGUUAAUGACCCAAGCAGAGGUGUUGAUACCCUCUCCAUCUUCCCAAGAUUCCUGGAUACCAAAGGAUUGGUGGAUCAAGACUUCACCCUCCUAUUUGAUCAUGAAACAUCCUCCAGGCCCCUUCAGAAAUGGGAUUCUUCAGUCCAAAUGUCAUAAAAGAGGCUAAGUGGCUUACUUCAACACCCAGAGUUGCGUCGCUUGUUGCAGAGAGUCCCACAGGAAGUGAUCUUGAUGAGACAACAAUCAUGCUGCAGUUUGGAGGAGCAUCUCCGCAACCAGCAGGGUCGGCAGCCAUACCUCCUCGCUGUUGGGCGUCAGAAGAGCAAGAUUGACAGCUUCUACAUCACCAUGGAUAAGCAUCUCAUCCCACGGCAGGCAAACCGCUCCCUGCCUUGGGGCUUUC
rnacentral:lncRNA from 1 species